rnacentral:rRNA from 1 species
UGGAUCCAGACUUUGAUUAUGGCUCAGGAUGAACGCUAGCUACAGGCUUAACACAUGCAAGUCGGGGGGAAACGAUAUUGGAAGCUUGCUUCCGAUAGGCGUCGACCGGCGCACGGGUGAGUAACGCGUAUCCAACCUGCCCACCACUUGGGGAUAACCUUGCGAAAGUAAGACUAAUACCCAAUGACGUUUCUAGAAGACAUCUGAAAGAGAUUAAAGAUUUAUCGGUGAUGGAUGGGGGUGCGUCUGAUUAGCUUGUUGGCGGGGUAACGGCCCACCAAGGCGACGAUCAGUAGGGGUUCUGAGAGGAAGGUCCCCCACAUUGGAACUGAGACACGGUCCAAACUCCUACGGGAGGCAGCAGUGAGGAAUAUUGGUCAAUGGACGAGAGUCUGAACCAGCCAAGUAGCGUGCAGGAAGACGGCCCUAUGGGUUGUAAACUGCUUUUAUAAGGGAAUAAAGUUAGUCUCGUGAGACUUUUUGCAUGUACCUUAUGAAUAAGGACCGGCUAAUUCCGUGCCAGCAGCCGCGGUAAUACGGAAGGUCCGGGCGUUAUCCGGAUUUAUUGGGUUUAAAGGGAGCGUAGGCCGGAGAUUAAGCGUGUUGUGAAAUGUAGAUGCUCAACAUCCGAACUGCAGCGCGAACUGGUUUCCUUGAGUACGCACAAAGUGGGCGGAAUUCGUGGUGUAGCGGUGAAAUGCUUAGAUAUCACGAAGAACUCCGAUUGCGAAGGCAGCUCACUGGAGCGCAACUGACGCUGAAGCUCGAAAGUGCGGGUAUCGAACAGGAUUAGAUACCCUGGUAGUCCGCACGGUAAACGAUGGAUGCCCGCUGUUGGUCUGAAUAGGUCAGCGGCCAAGCGAAAGCAUUAAGCAUCCCACCUGGGGAGUACGCCGGCAACGGUGCAACUCAAAGGAAUUGACGGA